UCCAACAUUUUAAGGAACUGGCUGCAGCUGCAAAGGAGAAAGCAACCCAGAUUGAACAGAUUGCUGAAGCAAAUCUCAAUGUAAGAAAUUUAUUAUGCAAUCUCUGGUACGUGAAGCAGAGGCCUGGCUAACUUAAAUGCUUUAGUGGGUGCACUGUGCGCAUGUGGUUAUAGUAAGCCUAAAUUAGAACUUUAUGGACUGUUUUGGAUUGUGUUGUAUGUAUGUGGUAAUUUCUGCCCUCGGUGCUUCCUUAUUACUCAAUGUUCCUUUUGAACUUCUCAUAUUCCCAAUUCUUUAGACAAUGAUUCGUAUUAGGAUGUUUAAGGAGCACAUGACUCGAUGUGCACAAACACUCUUUUGUUUUAUUCCUCCGUACACCACAUUAAAUAUUAAGCAUUUGGGACUAUUUUUCUUGAUGUCAUACUAUAUGUUCUCAGAUUUUAUUAGAAACCUACCACUCAAUUAACCUUCUAAUGUUAUAUCCAGCACAUGAUUAUUCCACGCGGUAAAUUUAGUUAUCUAUGCUCGAUAUGCCAGUAUAUAUCUUUAAAUUCUAGAAAAACAAGUUAUCCAUGUGUGUGUAGAGAGAGACGCAAUUAGUCUUCAUUCUCCAUAUUAUUAUCACCUAAUUCUUGCUGGAAUCAGAAUUACAACUGCUUUGUUUAAGAAACUUCCUCUCAAAGAGCUUUGACAACCUCUGUAUUCGAUCUGGAAUAAAUUCUCUUUUCAGUUUGUAUGUUUUUUUAGCUAAUAUUCCUUACCGGUUCUCAUUUUUCUUUCAUCC
rnacentral:lncRNA from 1 species